CGCCUACGGGAGGCAGCAGUCGAGAAUCAUUCACAAUGGGGGAAACCCUGAUGGUGCGACGCCGCGUGGGGGAAUGAAGGUCUUCGGAUUGUAAACCCCUGUCAUGUGGGAGCAAAUUAAAAAGAUAGUACCACAAGAGGAAGAGACGGCUAACUCUGUGCCAGCGGCCGCGGUAAUACAGAGGUCUCAAGUGUUGUUCGGAAUCGCUGGGCGUAAAACGGGCGUAGGCUGUUUCGUAAGUCGUGUGUGACAGGCGCGGGCUCAACGCGCGUGCGG
rnacentral:rRNA from 1 species